rnacentral:rRNA from 1 species
AACGAACGCUGGCGGUAUGCUUAACACAUGCAAGUCGAACGGACUAAUUAAAGCUUGCUUUGAUUAGUUAGUGGCAAACGGGUGAGUAACGCGUGGGAAUCUACCCAUCAGUACGGAAUAACUUUUGGAAACAAAAGCUAAUACCGUAUAUUCUCUUCGGAGGAAAGAUUUAUCGCUGAUGGAUGAGCCCGCGUCUGGUUAGGUAGUUGGUAGGGUAAUGGCCUACCAAGCCAACGAUCAGUAGCUGGUCUGAGAGGAUGAUCAGCCACACUGGAACUGAGACACGGUCCAGACUCCUACGGGAGGCAGCAGUGGGAAGUAUUGCGCAAUGGGCGAAAGCCUGACGCAGCGACGCCGCGUGGGUGAUGAAGGCCUCGGUCGUAAGACC